UCCCAGUUCUUGAGGGGCAUCAGUGUCUGGUUCAAUCACACCUUCAUUAUCAAUAACUAGAUCACUUUCCUCACUUGAUGGCGUUAGAUAUGAGUUCUAAAUUUCUCUUCAAAGAAUCAAUAUGUCAGUAUGUUCGAUUCUUUGCCUUCUACUUUUAAACUUAACUUCCUCAUAAAGCAACCUUUUUCAAUCACCUGCUCCACUCUGACUCAUUCCGAUUACCUGCUCCACCCUGACUCAUUCUGAUCACCUGCCCCACCAUGACUCAUUCCAAUUACCUGCUCCACCCUGACUCAUUCCAAUUACCUGCCUGCCUUGGCUCAUUCUGAUCACCUGCCCCACCCUGACUCAUUAUGAUCACCUUCCCCAACCUGACUCAUUCUGAUCACUUGCCCCAUCCUGACUCACUCCAAUUACCUGCUCCACCCUGACACGUUCCGGUUACCUGCUCCUGCCUGACUUCUCCUCCACUCUGACUUAUUCCAUAACCAUUUUUCCCGCUAAACCACUCACCACAUCACUCUCUUUAAAUUAGCCAAUCGGAAUUAGUUUAGCCUGUGCAGUCUAACCCUAGCCAAUAGGGGAACGACACAGCAGCAGGGGCCACGUGCAUCAGGAAUAAGAACCCCUUUCCCACCCAGGUGUGUUCUCGCUAUUGUUCCAUCUGCAACUGAGCACCUUUUCUGCAGAAAGUAAAGACAGCCUUGCUAAGAGAUCAUUUGUCUCCAAGCUGACUUUUCUUUGCAGCACCGAUUAUCUAUUUCUAACAAUUUUGGGGGCUCGUCCAGGAUUACAGUCUCCUCUAGGGUGGGUCUCCAGUCCUCUCUUGUGAGAAGGCAUGCCCCACUACCUCGUUUUUGGCAGCCUCAGGGGUGAGGAACCGAGAUCCACCCAGUGUGAUGAAUAAACUGGGACUCUCAGCAACGUGGAAAGAAACUGGCUAGCAACGUAGGGUAAAGGAUCCUCACAUACUGCGGUAAUGACUCUGCACAGACCAAGGAAGGAGAAACCAUGGGAGCUGAGGUCUUUCAGCAGAGGCGCCGCCUUUGGAGUUUCCAGUACAUCAGCAUCGGCCUGGGGAUCACGUUCUCAUCAAAGGGUGGAAAGAAGGGAAACUUGAGCCAGCCUGGGAAGGACCCUGCAUUGUGCUGCUAACCACCGAGAUUGCUGUUUGUACAGCAGAAAAGGAUGGACACAUCACACCCUAGUCAAGCAAGUGCCAUUAUCAUCAGAAUCAUGGGUCAUUGUUCCUGGACAAUCCUCUACCAAAUUAAACCUAAAAAAAGCUUAGUCCAUCUAUCUUUUCCUUUCCUUUCCUUACCCAGUGCUUAUAUCCAUUACUAUUCCUACCACUAGCAACUCUUACCCCACUUUAGAGCACUUCUAUGGUUUAGGAGCAGAAGUCACUGGAAAGGAUCCUAUAGGCUUCUUCAAGGUAUGCUUUGUUCUCCCUCCUCCACCUCCUAUGGCUGCCCCUUUCCCAAACCUAUGAAAUCAAACUAUGACUCGCCUCAUGCCAAGUGACAAAAGCAAGGUCUCAGUAGUAGAAAUAGGAGACCUAAGGCAAACCAUAGCCAUUGAAACAGGGUAUAAAGAUGUAAAUGCCUGGUUAAAAUGGAUUAAAUGUUCUGUCCACAUGUUAAACAAAGGCAAUUGUUAUGCUUGUGUGCACUGCAGGCCAGAGGCCCAGAUUGUCCCCUUUCUACUAGGGCGGUCCUCCAGUCGACCGGGCGUGGGCUGCAUGGCAGCUCUCUUACAGGAUUCUACAGCCUGCGGUAACAAGUUGUGCCAAGUUCUCUCUCUGCUAUAUCCCAAAUUUCAACACCCUGCAGGUCAGCCCCCGAGGGCCAUCCAGCUUCCAUCUCCCAACACAAAGUUCACUAAGUGUCUCAGACUGAGAGACAGGACUAGCUGGAUUUCCUAGGCUGACUAAGAAUCCCUAAGCCUAGCUGAGAAGGUGACCACAUCCACUUUUAAACACGGGGCUUGCAACUGAGCUUACACCUGACCAAUCAGAG
rnacentral:lncRNA from 10 species